AUACGUAGGGGGCGAGCGUUGUCCGGAAUGAUUGGGCGUAAAGGGCGCGUAGGCGGCCCGGUAAGUCUGGAGUGAAAGUCCUGUUUUUAAGAUGGGAAUUGCUUUGGAUACUGUCGGGCUUGAGUGCAGGAGAGGUAAGUGGAAUUCCCAGUGUAGCGGUGAAAUGCGUAGAGAUUGGGAGGAACACCAGUGGCGAAGGCGACUUACUGGACUGUAACUGACGCUGAGGCGCGAAAGUGUGGGGAGCAGACAGGAUUAGAUACCCUGGGAGUCCACACUGUAAACGAUGAAUGCUAGGUGUAGUGGGUAUCGACCCCUUCUGUGCCGCAGUCACCACAAUAAGCAUUCCGCCUGGGGAGUACGGCCGCAAGGUUGAAACUCAAAUGAAUUGACGGGG
rnacentral:rRNA from 1 species